UACGGAGGGAGCUAGCGUUGUUCGGAAUGACUGGGCGUAAAGCGCACGUAGGCGGCUUUGUAAGUUAGAGGUGAAAGCCCGGGGCUCAACUCCGGAACUGCCUUUAAGACUGCAUCGCUUGAAUCCGGGAGAGGUGAGUGGAAUUCCGAGUGUAGAGGUGAAAUUCGUAGAUAUUCGGAAGAACACCAGUGGCGAAGGCGGCUCACUGGACCGGUAUUGACGCUGAGGUGCGAAAGCGUGGGGAGCAAACAGG
rnacentral:rRNA from 1 species